GACGAACGCUGGCGGCGUGCUUAACACAUGCAAGUCGAACGAUGAAGCCGGAGCUUGCUCUGGUGAAUUAGUGGCGAACGGGUGAGUAACACGUGAGUAACCUGCCCUUGACUCUGGGAUAACUGCGGGAAACUGUAGCUAAUACCGGAUACGACCCUCGGAGGCAUCUCCUGGGGGUGGAAAGAAUUUCGGUCAAGGAUGGACUCGCGGCCUAUCAGCUAGUUGGUGAGGUAAAGGCUCACCAAGGCGACGACGGGUAGCCGGCCUGAGAGGGGGACCGGCCACACUGGGACUGAGACACGGCCCAGACUCCUACGGGAGGCAGCAGUGGGGAAUAUCGCACAAUGGGCGCAAGCCUGAUGCAGCGACGCCGCGUGAGGGAUGAAGGUCUUCGGAUUGUAAACCUCUUUCAGUAGGGACGAAGCGAAAGUGACGGUACCUAAAGAAGAAGCACCGGCUAACUACGUGCCAGCAGCCGCCGUAA
rnacentral:rRNA from 1 species